rnacentral:rRNA from 1 species
UACGAAGGGGGCUAGCGUUGUUCGGAAUUACUGGGCGUAAAGCGCACGUAGGCGGACUUGUCAGUCAGAGGUGAAAUCCCGAAGCUUAACUUCGGAACUGCCUUUGAUACUGCAAGUCUUGAGGAUGAGAGAGGUAAGUGGAACUGCGAGUGUAGAGGUGAAAUUCGUAGAUAUUAGGAAGAACACCAGUGGCGAAGGCGGCUCACUGGUCCGGCAUUGACGCUGAGGUGCGAAAAGCGUGGGGGAGCAAACAGG